AGCUUCCAUCGCCACCUUUCCGUCUUUGUACUCUGGAUUGUCUUUCUUUAUCUGUGCAGCGUGGUAAUGAGGAACGCUGCUGUCCUGUUUGGAGCGUUUGAAGAAUCCACACUGACAGGAGACAAAAAGGCAAACCAGAGCAGAAAUACCAACAGAGCCAGGAUCAGGAUUCCAGCCAGAACAGCUACCAGAAUGAUCCACCAGGGGACGCCACCGUAAUGUGCUACGGUGCUUUCAGGAGACACUGCCACUGUGACCUGAUACAGAAGAUGUCACACUGCCUCCUUUUUCAUAUUCAUGGUGGAAUGGCUGGGGGCCAGCCGAAGGCCGUUGAAGUGACGGGCAAAAGACCAAGCAACAAGCAGUGCCUUAGGAACAGCGGUUGUAACAGCGGAGUUAUCACUCACAUUCUGUGGUCCGGGUGGAGCUGCCGGUGCAGGGCCAGAGAGAAGCCGAAGAGAGAGCCCGGUUCUCCGCUCUUUUUGAGCACAUGACCGGUGUCCAAGUUAAAGG